AGGACGAGUUGCUUAAUAAUGCGUUAUAUUGCGAUAAUUUAUUAUCAACUUGUUCAACUGGAUACGUCAAUGGAAGAAAGAUACUAAAAGCCGAAAAAAAGACUCUUGACUCUAAAGAAUCCUAAAUGGAACUUAUUUUUGAGCAAGUUUUUGCAAA
rnacentral:lncRNA from 1 species